rnacentral:lncRNA from 1 species
AAAUUGUCCCUGUUUGCAGAUGACAUGAUUGUACAUUUAGAAAACCCCAUCGUCUCAGCCCAAAAUCUCUUUAAGCUGAUAAGCAACUUCAGCAAAGUCUCAGGAUACAAAAUCAAUGUGCAAAAAUCACAAGCAUUCUUAUACACCAAUAACAGACAAACAGUGAGCCAAAUCAUGAGUGAACUUCCAUUCACAAUUGCUUCAAAGAGAAUAAAAUACCUAGGAAUCCAACUUACAAGGGAUGUGAAGGACCUCUUCAAGGAGAA